rnacentral:rRNA from 1 species
GACGAACGCUGGCGGCGUGCCUAAUACAUGCAAGUUGAGCGCUGAAGGUUGGUACUUGUACCAACUGGAUGAGCAGCGAACGGGUGAGUAACGCGUGGGGAAUCUGCCUUUGAGCGGGGGACAACAUUUGGAAACGAAUGCUAAUACCGCAUAAAAACUUUAAACACAAGUUUUAAGUUUGAAAGAUGCAAUUGCAUCACUCAAAGAUGAUCCCGCGUUGUAUUAGCUAGUUGGUGAGGUAAAGGCUCACCAAGGCGAUGAUACAUAGCCGACCUGAGAGGGUGAUCGGCCACAUUGGGACUGAGACACGGCCCAAACUCCUACGGGAGGCAGCAGUAGGGAAUCUUCGGCAAUGGACGAAAGUCUGACCGAGCAACGCCGCGUGAGUGAAGAAGGUUUUCGGAUCGUAAAACUCUGUUGGUAGAGAAGAACGUUGGUGAGAGUGGAAAGCUCAUCAAGGGACGGUAACUACCCAGAAAAGGACGGCUAACUACGU